GAGUAGUCGAUUUUAGCAUAAAAAGGUGUUUUAAACAUAAUGGUGAAGUUAGAUUUAUCAAAAGGUGCUUUCUUGACCACUUACAAGAGCCAUCAGCCUUAGUAAUGAAGUUGGCUCUUGGAUGAAUGAAGGCCAUAGAUCUACAUUAGGGAUCUUAUAGAUCAAAGGUGGAGAUGUGGCCGCCCUUCUACAAUCCACCACUCAAUUUUAUAAGAGUGGCUUGGUUCUCCAAGCCUUCUCUCUCUCUCCUCUAUUGGUGAAAGGCAAAGCCAUGCCAAAUUUUGGCCUUAAAUCCUAAUCUUAAUUUUAUUUUUGAUUUUCAAUCUUAUUGUGAACUUUUGGUUGUCUAUGGAUGGAUCUUAAGUAGUGAAUGAUGGUCAUUUAAGACAUAGGUCAUUGUGGUAGAUAGCUCUUUUAGUGAAAUAGGAUACGACUAUCUCAAAAAUCUAAGAUCUUUUCAAUAUAGAACAAUAUAAGGCCUCUUCACAAAAUAGGACAAAAUAAACCAAAAUAAAAUUGAACAAA
rnacentral:lncRNA from 1 species